UUUUUUUCCAAUUAGGAUGACCUUGCAGAUGAUGACACGAUGAUUCUAGAUGAUGGGAACCAAGUCUUCCUUGGCUGGGAUCAAAAGCAUCUGAUGUGGAAAUUAAAUUGGCUCUCAAAUCUGCACAGGUUUAUGUUCAGAACUUGAGGGUAAAGCAGCCUGAACUACCCCGGAAGUUGUUGUGCACCUUUAAAGGGAAAGAAUCAAAGAAAUUUACUCGCUGCUUCCAUGGAUGGGGAGAGUUUAAAACUACAAGAGAGUAAGACGCUGGAUUUCCCAUGGGAGAGAUGUACAAUUUGCAUUUUACAGCCAAUUAGUGUAUUUGUUAAAAGGUCAUUCAGAUAACUGCUCUGCCUUCUUUCACAUUUUUAUGCAUAUUGUCUCUUCCCAUAACACUGUAGGUGCUUUUCCUUGCCAAAACAAUUUAAGUUAUAAUUCAUGUAAAUUGACUUCCACAUAUAACCAAACUUUUUUUUUUCCUUGUUUUAAACAAACUUAUGAUGGAUCUGCACAAUAAUUUAUAUAAAUUUUAGAUUUAGUAAAUAAACAUUUUCUUGUACAA